rnacentral:rRNA from 1 species
UACAGAGGGUGCGAGCGUUAAUCGGAAUUACUGGGCGUAAAGGGCGCGUAGGUGGUUAAUUAAGUCAGAUGUGAAAUCCCUAGGCUUAACCUAGGAAUUGCAUAUGAAACUGAUAGGCUAGAGUACAGGAGAGGGAAGUGGAAUUUCCGGUGUAGCGGUGAAAUGCGUAGAUAUCGGAAGGAACACCAGUGGCGAAGGCGACUUCCUGGCCUGCUACUGACACUGAGGCGCGAAAGCGUGGGGAGCGAACAGG